AGUUAUAGUAUAGUAAAAUAUAAUUAUUUGUUUUGCUGAAGUAAUUGUAUAUUAUUCUAAACACACUGUAUUUGGUUGUUGUAGAUGUUCAUCUAUCUCAGAGAGCACUUUUAAAGUUUUACCACCACCUUAUCAGAGUGCUGAAAAGUGGAAGUCAGAGGAAACAUGACCAACUUCCUGCAAAACAAUAACACAAAAGGUCUGGACUAUGGAGUGCAGCAUUACUUGUUUGGUCAUCUACAUUCAGAUGAAAACACCACACUCCUCUCUAAUUCAAGAUGUCAAGCCUACUCAUCGCAAGGAGAGUUAGCAUCAAAAUGGAUGUGUCACUGACCAAUAACACAGAGAUGCCAGAAGUAUCUGUUUGCUGUCUACUUUUUGUUAAGUACUAUGGAGCAUCCAAAAGCCAUCACUCAGUUCAUUUCAA